UGAUGCCUGGCAUUUUGUGUGUGUUGUGUGUUUCUUUCUCCAUACACACAAAAUGCCAGGCAUCAGG
rnacentral:precursor_RNA from 1 species